rnacentral:lncRNA from 1 species
AACGUAUCCUGAAAACUACGCUUAUCUAGUAAUGUAAUCAAUGAUUUCAGCUAAAGCUCUUGCUGGAGGCUGGUCUACUUCCAGUAGCUAGUAACGGUUGGGGCGAUAAGGAGGAGGAUUCGUGGGACAGUGACCACAAUGGAUGGGAUGAGAUGUAUGGUUCUGGCAGUUUCAACUCCAUCUUUGUACCAUUGAUGUUGGCAUCGCUUGUUGUUGCUCUCUUUGCUUGUCGUUAGAAGAAAGAUAAAGGAUGCAGUAUGGAUAUGUGAUAACCCACUAAAAUGCGCUUAACUGUCUUUUCGCCACUUUGCUGUCUUUUCGCCACUUUGCGUUGUAUUCGGAAUAUGCCAAUUAACGUUAAUGACUAAUUAAGUCCUACGAUGAAUGGAAGUAUGAGUGCAUAUUUACUUCCUGGAGUGCAGGAAACUGGUCAUACUGAGACUUUCAUUGACUUACUCAGAAUAUUCUAUAUACGGAUAUUUCUAUUUUCAUUGCAAUACAUAACAUGCCAUGGAUGCAAAAAGUUCUAAUUUUCAAUUUUGCACGAGUGAGGUUCUAAUGUAAACCGUCACAUCACCAGCUUGGAUAUUUUCUCAUACUUUUAUAGAGUUUAUGAUCGCUUGGUAAUACCAAACGGCGUGGAUCAAGAGGACACCCUCAUCUCCAUUUACUAGUUCGUUGCGUGGAAUAACUGGAAAUACAAAACGUAUUACUUGUUGUAAAUAUCAACUUUGUCUAGGUCUGUCCAUAUACUUGUAAAGUAUCUAACAAUAAUUUCACUCGCUGAGGCUCUAAUGAACGUCAUGCAUAUCUUGUUACUAACUACGUGUUCACACAUGUCAUGUUCGCUCGUUUAACAACCGAAGACACAAAUAUGUAUAUUGUGGAGUCUUUUUCUUUAAUUGGACGUACAUGUAGUUAUAUUGAAUAAACUUCUUUAUUACUUUUU